GCUGGGCGCGGUGGUGCACACCUGUAAUCCCAGCAGUUCAGGAGGCUGAGACUGGUGGAUGGUGAAUUCAAAGCCAGCCUCAG
rnacentral:sRNA from 1 species